rnacentral:rRNA from 1 species
GGGCCUCUCGCGAGCGGAGCGGCCGAUGACUGAUUAGCCGGUUGGUGAGGUAACGGCUCACCAAAGCAACGAUCAGUAGCUGGUCUGAGAGGACGACCAGCCACACUGGGACUGAGACACGGCCCAGACUCCUACGGGAGGCAGCAGUGGAGAAUUUUGGACAAUGGGCGCAAGCCUGAUCCAGCUAUUCCGCGUGUGGGAUGACGGCCCUCGGGUUGUAAACCACUUUAGUAGAGAACGAAAAGGAGCUAUCGAAUAAAUAGCUCUGCUGACGGUACUCUAAGAAUAAGCACCGGCUAACUACGUGCCAGCAGCCGCGGUAAUACGUAGGGUGCGAGCGUUAAUCGGAAUUACUGGGCGUAAAGGGUGUGCAGGCGGCUGAGUAAGACAGAUGUGAAAUCCCCGGGCUUAACCUGGGAACCGCAUAUGUGACUGCUUGGCUAGAGUGCGUCAGAGGGAGGUGGAAUUCCACGUGUAGCAGUGAAAUGCGUAGAUAUGUGGAAGAACACCGAUGGCGAAGGCAGCCUCCUGGGAC